GGCUUUACUGAUUCCUCCUUCUUGACGAACCGUGAUGUCAUUAAUUUGGUGUUGCGGGAAAUCAGGACUGUUACUUUGAAAAAAUUAGAGUGUUUAAAGCAGGCUAACGCUUGAAUACAUUAGCAUGGAAUAAUGAAAUAGGACGUUAAUCCUAUUUUGUUGGUUUCUAGGAUCGACGUAAUGAUUAAUAGGGAUAGUUGGGGGCAUUAGUAUUCAAUUGUCAGAGGUGAAAUUCUUGGAUUUAUUGAAAACUAACUACUGCAAAAGCUUUUGCCAAGGAUGUUUUCAUUAUUCAAGAACAAAAGUUAGGGGAUCGAAAAAAUCAAAUACCGUCGUAUCUUACCAUAACCUA
rnacentral:rRNA from 1 species